AGGAAGGUAAGCUAAAAAUAAGCUACCAGGUUCAUACCCUGUUUAUAGAGACAAAUACUCUCCUCCCUA
rnacentral:tRNA from 1 species